rnacentral:rRNA from 1 species
AUUGAACGCUGGCGGCAGGCCUAACACAUGCAAGUCGGACGAGCGGCGGACGGGUGAGUAAUGUAUGGGAAUCUGCCUGAUGGAGGGGGAUAACUACUGGAAACGGUAGCUAAUACCGCAUACCAUCAGAUGUACCCAGAUGGGAUUAGCUUGUAGGUGGGGUAACGGCUCACCAAGGCGACGAUCCCUAGCUGGUCUGAGAGGAUGAUCAGCCACACUGGAACUGAGACACGGUCCAGACUCCUACGGGAGGCAGCAGUGGGGAAUAUUGCACAAUGGGCGCAAGCCUGAUGCAGCCAUGCCGCGUGUAUGAAGAAGGCCUACGGGUUGUAAAGUACUUUCAGCGGGGAGGCGUUACCCGCAGAAGAAGCACCGGCUAACUCCGUGCCAGCAGCCGCGGUAAUAC